GAUGAAGAAUACAGUGAAAUGCGAUAAGUAAUGUGAAUUGCAGAAUUCAGUGAAUCAUCGAAUCUUUGAACGCACAUUGCGCCCGCCAGUAUUCUGGCGGGCAUGCCUGUUCGAGCGUCAUUUCAACCCUCAAGACCCCUUCGGGGGACUUGGUGUUGGGGACCGGCACAGGGGCCUGCCUGCUUGUCUUGCAGCGCCCUCGCCGCCCCCGAAAUGAAUUGGCGGCCUCGUCGCGGCCUCCCCUGCGUAGUAGCACAAACCUCGCAACGGGAACGUGACGGCGGCCACUGCCGUAAAACAACCCAAUUUUAUUAGAGUUGACCUCGAAUCAGGUAGGAAUACCCGCUGAACUUAAGCAUAUCAAUAAGCGGAGGA
rnacentral:misc_RNA from 1 species